rnacentral:rRNA from 1 species
AGUGAACGCUGGCGGUAGGCCUAACACAUGCAAGUCGAACGGCAGCACAGUAAGAGCUUGCUCUUACGGGUGGCGAGUGGCGGACGGGUGAGGAAUACAUCGGAAUCUACUUUUUCGUGGGGGAUAACGUAGGGAAAUUUACGCUAAUACCGCAUACGACCUACGGGUGAAAGCAGGGGAUCUUCGGACCUUGCGCGAUUGAAUGAGCCGAUGUCGGAUUAGCUAGUUGGCGGGGUAAAGGCCCACCAAGGCGACGAUCCGUAGCUAGUCUGAGAGGAUGAUCAGCCACACUGGAACUGAGACACGGUCCAGACUCCUACGGGAGGCAGCAGUGGGGAAUAUUGGACAAUGGGCGCAAGCCUGAUCCAGCCAUACCGCGUGGGUGAAGAAGGCCUUCGGGUUGUAAAGCCCUUUUGUUGGGAAAGAAAAGCAGCAGGUUAAUACCCCGCUGUUCUGACGGUACCCAAAGAAUAAGCACCGGCUAACUUCGUG